GCCGAAAUAGCUCAGGUGGGAGAGCGUUAGACUGAAGAUCUAAAGGUCCCUGUUUCAAUCCCGGGUUUCGGCA
rnacentral:tRNA from 1 species